AACGCUGGCGGCGUGCCUAAUACAUGCAAGUCGAGCGAAUGAGAUUAAGAGCUUGCUCUUAUGAAGUUAGCGGCGGACGGGUGAGUAACACGUGGGUAACCUGCCCAUAAGACUGGGAUAACUCCGGGAAACCGGGGCUAAUACCGGAUAACAUUUUGAACUGCAUGGUUCGAAAUUGAAAGGCGGCUUCGGCUGUCACUUAUGGAUGGACCCGCGUCGCAUUAGCUAGUUGGUGAGGUAACGGCUCACCAAGGCAACGAUGCGUAGCCGACCUGAGAGGGUGAUCGGCCACACUGGGACUGAGACACGGCCCAGACUCCUACGGGAGGCAGCAGUAGGGAAUCUUCCGCAAUGGACGAAAGUCUGACGGAGCAACGCCGCGUGAGUGAUGAAGGCUUUCGGGUCGUAAAACUCUGUUGUUAGGGAAGAACAAGUGCUAGUUGAAUAAGCUGGCACCUUGACGGUACCUAACCAGAAAGCCACGGCUAACUAC
rnacentral:rRNA from 1 species